GGGCCUAUAGCUCAGUUGGUUUAGAGCGCACGCCUGAUAAGCGUGAGGUCGAUGGUUCGAGUCCAUUUAGGCCCA
rfam:Lactobacillus coleohominis DSM 14060 Scaffold783, whole genome shotgun sequence.